AGGGGGUAUGGCGGAAUUGGUAGACGCUNCGGACUUAAAAUCCGUUGGCUUUAUUGACCGUGAGGGUUCAAGUCCCUCUACCCCCA
rnacentral:tRNA from 1 species